rnacentral:lncRNA from 1 species
UACAAUUCAUGGACUUUAUGAUAGCUUUUUUCAGUUGAUGUGAAGAUCUGUGGACUUCCUUCCAGAAGGCAGAAGAUUACUGGCAUACUGCCAAGGCAAAGUCAUUGUACCUACACUAGUUUCUGCAAAUUGGAACAUAAUAAAUUCUCAAUGACCCAUGAUCUGAUUCUUAACAGGGACUAAUAAAGAAUAAGUAAAGAGUACUUUGUUGACAAGUUUUCCCUUACUUUCCUUUUCCACCAUUCUUACAUCUAGUCUGCCCUGUGCACCAAAGCACUUAUUUCUCCAUUGCAGGAGUUGUGAAGCAGAACCACAGGAAGGCAGCUCAACCAGGGGGAUCCUGUUGCUUACCUCCAGUACGUGAGGGGGUGGCAAGGACUCUGGCCCCACGGCAAGAAGACCAACCCUACUGAAGAAUUCUCUACAUAUGGACCAUGAUAUGCAGCUAGAAAUCACCAAGCAGAGAUGUUCCAAGUAUCAAUUUUGUGACAGGAGUAUUUAGAAGAGAAGCAUCAUGAUGCUUGCAUCUUACAUUCAAGUGGUUUGACAAAAACAUCGACAUUAAUUCCUUGAGUAGGUAUUUUCCUUGCUCUGUGAUCGAGUUUUUCAACCUCAGCACUACUGACAUUUUGGGCUGAAUAAAUUCUUUGCUGUGGGGCUACCCUAUGAAUUGUAGGAUGUUUGGUAGUUUUCCUGGUCAGAUAUUGCCAAAUGUCCCCUGGGAGGUAAAAUGUCCUGUGUUGAGGACUAUUGCUGUAUGUUAAUAAUUUGAUAAUCAAAAAAAAUUUUAUACACAGGUUUCUUUUCUACAAAAGCACUGGCUAUUAAUUCUGAAACAACUUUCUGUGUAUUCUAAAAAGGCUCAAAUAAAUACGUUGCAGAUAAAUGAAGCCACUUUUCUCACUGUUGAAGAAGAAAAUUACAGAUAUGAAAACAGGUAAGAUAGAAUUAAUCCCCUGGGCCGGGCACAGUGGCUCACACCUGUAAUACCAGUACUUUGGGAAGCCAAGGCAGACAGAUCUCUUGAGGUCAGGAGU